rnacentral:rRNA from 1 species
CAGCCGCCGCGGUAAUACCGGCGGCCCGAGUGGUGGCCGCUAUUAUUGGGCCUAAAGCGUCCGUAGCCGGGCCCGUAAGUCCCUGGCGAAAUCCCACGGCUCAACCGUGGGGCUUGCUGGGGAUACUGCGGGCCUUGGGACCGGGAGAGGCGAGGGGUACCCCUGGGGUAGGGGUGAAAUCCUAUAAUCCCAGGGGGACCGCCAGUGGCGAAGGCGCCCCGCUGGAACGGGUCCGACGGUGAGGGACGAAGGCCAGGGGAGCAAACCGGAUUAGAUACCCGGGUAGUCCUGGCUGUAAACGAUGCGGACUUUGUGUCGGACAAGCUAUGAGCUUGUCCGGUGCCGGAGGGAAACCGUUAAGUCCGCCGCCUGGGGAGUACGGCCGCAAGGCUGAAACUUAAAGGAAUUGGCGGG